UUCCUUCCUUCCUUCCUUCCUUCCUUCCUUCCUUCCUUCCUUUCCUUCCUUCCUUCCUUCCUUCCUUCCUUCCUUCCUUCCUUGAAACGAACAGAGCUUCAAAUCCGAAUUACGUUACUGUGAGCAGAGGGAAAAAGGAAGAGUUUCACCAAAGCCUGUGUUUGCAAACAUGGUCGAGGUUCUAUUUUGCAGAGAAGAAAGCCAAACUAAUGAGAGAAAGCACUGGAUAGUUUGCAGAGUUCAAGACCCCCGUCUUGGGCAUCUCAGCCGACUCUCGGAGCGAUUUUUCCUUCCCCCCACCCCAAGGCCUGCCCAUCCUGGCUCCCCCUGCAAGGAAAUCUGGAGUCCCCUGGGAGUGUGGAAAGGAGAGGGAGGAAAGAGGGACCGCGAAGCAUCUAUGCCCUGAGCAACAGAUGAAGAAGUGGUCAGUAUUACUUUGCAAAACGGAGGGUCUUCCCCCCCGCGUGCCUUUCUACUUGGGGUGAUCCUAGUGGCCGCCACCCCAAGCCCACUAAACUGGGCGCUCGGUGCCUUUGAAGUCCGCAGACCGGGGCGGCAUAAAAGGUUGACGGAGACGUUUACACUGGGUGCGCCGGCGGGNGUGUGUGGGUAAAACUGGCGCAGCCCUGAAAGCCUACUCCUCGCUCCCCCCAUACCUCGCGUCACCCCUCCUGUAGCGUCCAGGUGGCCGCGUCCUUCCGGCCCACGUCUCCUUGGCUAAUCAGGGCGCACAGGCACCAGCUAUUCCCCGUGGGAACCACCACGAUCGCAGGAAAAAACCAGGCAACCAACGCGCGGGCCUUUAGCAAUCAUAUANACAUCUCCUCAUCUAUCAUCUUGCUAUGGCAUCCGCACUGAGUGACAUGGGUAAAUGGAGAGUGACAAAGACAGGUGGAACAAGGAAAUGUGUUAGCCCUCGUUCGGCGCAAAUGCUACAUAUUGCUGGGACAUUUUUGUUUCAAGUUGCAGACGGAGGAACAUAUGCUGGGCCUUAUCCACUCAAGUUGUCUCCUAAUCAUGCAUCUGUCUCAGGAAAAAACAAAGAAAAGACUCCAGCUUUCUUUCUUUCUUUGAUGGACGAGGGAACCACUCAGAAGAGCUUAGCUGUACCUGGACCACCCCUUCCCCAUUUUAAGAGAAGUCUUUUCAGCACAAACAUCGUUUCUUCUCCGUGGUUCUUUGUUAGAGCUGGAGUGCCCUGUUCAGUAAGUUCAGACAGAUGGCAAUGACAUAUUUCAUACAGAACUCUGUAAUGUGGGUAAUGGUUCAGGUGGUCUCUGAGAAGGUGAAUGGUUCCUCCACCGUUUUCUCCCCUCCAAAUAGCUUUUGAUUGAACUGCUGGAACUGCCGUCUGCUUUGGAGGCAGCCCUUGGCCUUUUCCCAUGUCCUUGGGAUGCUUGUAAUUUUUUUUUUCUUUUUCUGAAGGCUGGAGCUCCCAAGAAGUAGGUGUCCAAGCUGGGGAGGUUACCAUAGUUUACAGAUGGAUCACUGAGGGUGAGAGACUACCAGUCAAUGUCUUCAAGGCAGUGAAUCCAGAAACACAGUGUCCUGAAGUCAAUGGGAUUUCUCUCCUACCUGCAAAUGUAAUGCUUUCAGUUUUUCAAAGAGAAUCACAAGAGGGACGAGUUGGGAAGCAGAGAGCAUAGCUCUGUGGCAGAACAUCUGGUUUGCACGCAACCCCAUGGAAGGCAAUGGCAAACUGCUUUUGUCUUUAAAGGUACCAGUGACUUUGACCCGACCCCAGCCCCUGGUGACUUUAUGGACACCUCCGUGCACUUUUCUUGGAGACAUUGUGGCAGGUUUGCUGAGCCUGUCAAGAUGUUCAGAAUCACAGAGAUUUCUUAGCUGACUGUCAGGUUGUUAGGUGGGUGCCUGCUAUUUCAGACAGGCCUUGUAUGGAUGGAUCUCUUCUUCAUUCCCAAGCCAUUAUUAUAUUUAUAUAUAUUAUUUACUUGAGGUCACAGUGUGGUGUUUACAAAAUAUAAAAUUAAAUAAUAAAUCAUAAGCAGAAAGUGAAAAAUCCUAAGGC
rnacentral:lncRNA from 1 species